UACGUAGGGUGCAAGCGUUGUCCGGAAUUAUUGGGCGUAAAGAGCUCGUAGGCGGCUUGUCGCGUCGGCUGUGAAAACCUGGGGCUCAACCCCGGGCCUGCAGCCGAUACGGGCAAGCUAGAAUUCGGUAGGGGAGACUGGAAUUCCUGGUGUAGCGGUGAAAUGCGCAGAUAUCAAGUGGAACACCAGUGGCGAAGGCGAGUCUCUGGACAUUUCCUGACGCUGAGGCACGAAAGCCAGGGGAGCAAACGGG
rnacentral:rRNA from 1 species